CUUGCUCCUGGAUUCAGCGGCGGACGGGUGAGUUAUGCCUAGGAAUCUGCCUGGUAGUGGGGGAUAACGUCCGGAAACGGGCGCUAAUACCGCAUACGUCCUGAGGGAGAAAGUGGGGGAUCUUCGGACCUCACGCUAUCAGAUGAGCCUAGGUCGGAUUAGCUAGUUGGUGGGGUAAAGGCCUACCAAGGCGACGAUCCGUAACUGGUCUGAGAGGAUGAUCAGUCACACUGGAACUGAGACACGGUCCAGACUCCUACGGGAGGCAGCAGUGGGGAAUAUUGGACAAUGGGCGAAAGCCUGAUCCAGCCAUGCCGCGUGUGUGAAGAAGGUCUUCGGAUUGUAAAGCACUUUAAGUUGGGAGGAAGGGCAGUAAGUUAAUACCUUGCUGUUUUGUCGUUACCAACAGAAUAAGCACCGGCUAACUUCGUGCCAGCAGCCGCGGUAAUACGAAGGGUGCAAGCGUUAAUCGGAAUUACUGGGCGUAAAGCGCGCGUAGGUGGUUCAGCAAGUUGGAUGUGAAAUCCCCGGGCUCAACCUGGGAACUGCAUCCAAAACUACUGAGCUAGAGUACGGUAGAGGGUGGUGAAAUUUCCUGUGUAGCGGUGAAAUGCGUAGAUAUAGGAAGGAACACCAGUGGCGAAGGCGACCACCUGGACUGAUACUGACCCUGAGGUGCGAAAGCGUGGGGAGCAACCAGGAUUAGAUACCCUGGUAGUCCACGCCGUAAACGUGGUCGACUAGCCGUUGGGAUCCUUGAGAUCUUA
rnacentral:rRNA from 1 species